rnacentral:tRNA from 1 species
GCGCGUAUGGCGGAAUUGGUAGACGCACUAGACUUAGGAUCUAGCGGUUUGUGCCAUGGGGGUUCAAGUCCCUCUACGCGCA